UUCCCCUUCCCUCUUCCAAGUCCAUUACUUUUGGACACCUGAUGUCUUUAAGGAUGGAGCUUAACUAACUGUUGUCUUUAUGAGGCCCAACACCAAGACUGUUAAAUUCCCUGCAGAAAACUGCUAUGAGGAGAUACGGCAAUAUUCAAAGUCCAAACUGGAGAGACAUUACUUAAAGUCAGGUCAAAGGUCUGUAGGCCCCUAGAAGUCAGGUCAGGGGCACAUGAGGGCUCACUAAACGAGCCGAACCAGGCGGACGGAAGGUGGGGUGCGAGCCUGAAAUCACCCCAAAACCCCGGACCUGAAAAAGUUGCUGCAGUCAUUUUUGGUUAACACCGCAUUUGCAAUAACGUUAAUGCUGACAUGAUGGGCUUUUAGCCUUCCUUUUGCCUACCCCAGUCUUUAACAGAGUUAAUUAAUCACCAGA